rnacentral:lncRNA from 1 species
AGCAACCUUAAGCAAUUUCACACAUGCGUUAAUUCAAGAAAUACUGUUUUAUCAUUUUGAACUUUAAUACCGUGAUAGGAAAUAGGGUGAGGGGUCCUUACUUAUUUUCGGGAUCCGAAUAUGAUUCACAGUGCGCCUGCAGGCUGUCCCUAAUUUUCCCUGAAUUUUUCCCCGGGGAACUGAAACACACUAACAGUACCUGCACGUGUUCCAAAAAAAAUUCAAAUUAGGCCCAGGGCCUCUUUCGGCCCAAAUCGCAACUCCGGCACGGCGGCUCCGCCGUGCUCCGGCCACGGCGCCGCCGCUGGCGGCGGCGAGUCGCCUCGGGUUGGCUGUUUUCGGCCGAAUUCGGCCACACUCGCAUUGGUCCUUGUCAGAAAACAACCCUAGGGCCCUCGGGGGGCCAAAAAAUCACGGAAAAACGGAGCUUACCGGCGGCGGCGCUCUCGGGUGCAGCGGCUCUCCGGCGACGUUCGUGUUUUGGUGAUUCGGCUCCGGUCAACCUGUAGAGAAAAGAAUGGUGAUCACGGUGAUAUAAAAAUUGCAUCGAACGGAGGCCGGGAAGGGCCUCGUCGGAGGCAAAAACCGAGAGGGGGCGCGGCGGCGCCGCUGGGCUUCGGCCGCGUAUUCCGGCCGUUUGGCCGGGAUUUCAGCUUCGAUUUGGCCAUAGGAGGAAUCAGUGGGGAAAAACGAGUCGGGGGUAUGAAAUUUACCUCGAUCGGCGGUCGGAAAUUUCCCCGGUGCGGCGGC